UGAUGAGCUAGUUCGGGUAGCCCGGCGUUACCUGUAACCCGAAAUCGCCGAUACGCGGGGGACGAAGCCAAUGGAAGGUUUAUCAAAGAGUUCCGAGCCUGGGGCCUCAACUGAGAAGCCCCGUCCUGCUUGGAUGUUGCUGGUUUGAGGGCUUGCUGGAGAACAGGUCUUCCUAUCUUAACCGCGGAAACCGGUCGAGGUCCGGAAGGGAGCAGACUCACCGUGGGCAAUCAUCGCUUGUGGGGUUGCGGGGUGGAGAAGGGGUGCCAGCCCCCUGGGAUCUCCGAGGUGUAUCAACCUGCGGCGUGCUCAUCA
rfam:Methanosarcina sp. MTP4, complete genome.